AGAAGAUGCUUGAAUGGACACCUUCCUGCAUAUCUCACUACGUCUACGGUCCUUUGGAUUUUGCAAGUUGGAGAUUUGAUGUAUGGCAGCAAUAGCAACUACACUGUGAAGCUGGGAGUGUGAUUCUCAAAAAAGGAAAAUUGAAGGAAGACAUUCAAGUAUUAGAUUUAGAAGCAUGUAAGUAGUAGGCCAGUGUGCCUGUCAGAAUCUGAAUGAUAGAAUUGUGCAUUCUGAUGAAUUUGUGUUUCAAAUUUGGUCUCCCACCGAUACUGCUCUGUAGCCCAUGAAGUUUCUGUAGAGAGGGAGAGCUCAGCCAUGUGCAGCUCUUGCUUAACUGGAGGCUGGGGUCUGGCCUGGAUUUUGAUGGCAUAAGAUAUGGUGAGGCUGGGGGCUGAGAACCUCUUCUUUUUCAGCAGUUCAAAACUGCCAUCUACCUGUUCUACCUGCCAGUCAAGUUAAUCACUUUCCAUUUCACGAGCAUGGAAGUAGAUGAGAAAUUGGACUGUGAAGACGACUAGUACCUGCAACUGCACAGCACCAAGAUGUCAUUACAGGCUUGAAGACUCAAGCUGCAUGAGGGCAGGCAGGAGCAGCUCUCUUCUCACUAGCCAUUUGUCACGACCUGAGAGAGCAGUGGCAAUGGCAGAGCAAAGCUGGGCAAACCAAGAGGAAAAGAGACCAGCUGCAGGGAGAUGCAGCGAGGCAGCACGACAGUUCACCCACCUUCAGCUUUCAUCCUGUUGCCAGAGCUGGCAGAUGUUAUCCUGGUUGCCAAUCUUCCUGUCCAGUUGUACAUCCUCCAUCCUAAAAAAAUAUUUUUUAGCCUCUCAAGUACCACUGGCACGUGGUCCUCAUUAGCCUAGCAGUAUUUUGGAUAAGUUAAGAUAAAGGAUCAGAAGACAAACAAAACCUGACCAUUUACGACAGCUUUAAUGAUACAGCCCAAAAUUUACUUCUACUUGUUUAAGACACAGGUGAGUGAAUGUAGGAUUUCUGAGUAUAUCAAGUAUAUCAUACAUACCUUCAUGGACUACACAGAGGAGUCCCACACAUAUGCAAUAAGGACAGAUUAAAGAUCAGUACUCUAAGUGUAAUUUAAUGACUUAACAAAUAAUGAUAAAAAACACACUAAGCAAAGUUGUUUCUGGUAAUAUAAAGUAAGCAUGAUACGUAGGGGCGGCAAGGAUAAUUUCACCUACCAGUGAUUAAAUAUGGGAAAACUUGCAUUGCCACAGCUCACGGCUUGCACCGGCUAGCGUGUAUGGGUGGAUGGGAGAUUGGGCUGUCAGGCUGUCAGCUUCCAUGAGCCCUAGCUCCUCAGUGAAAGGGAGAUGGCCAUUUUCCCAACAAUGUCUCCAGCUUCUUUCUUUACAGCCAGUCAAGUCCAAUGACAUCAAAUAUUAAUCUGGCACACAACUUGGGCUGUCCAAAUGCAUUUUAUAACCAACAGCAUAUCAAAUCCUUGGGACCUGAUGACAAUCACUCCUUUGUUGUCACACCCUUCAGUCACUUUAACCCAAAUUCUCAAAGGAAAGAUUGGUGCUUCAGAGGACUGAUUACAGCAAAAGUGCUUCAAAACAUGAAAGGAGGGAAGGCAGAGCUUUUGUGAUGAGAGCAACUCAUCACAAAAGAUCCUACCAUGAAAUCUAGAGAAUGAACAAGAAGCCUUAGAUGAUCUCACAGCAAGAGGCUCUGUUGUUACUUUGUGCAGAGGCAGAAUUUCUCUGCAGGGUCAGAAUUCGGAGCAUCUUGGCUCUGGUAUUUGGGCUUGCGGCUCAGAGUUCUCUGUACAAGACUGCAGCCAGUGAGAGAAAAUUAAAAAUUGACCCUAAAUUAUUCAAAGGAACCCAAGAAAUAAAAUAUAGGCUAAAGAAGAAUUCUUCUGAAUA
ensembl:lncRNA